UAAUACAGAGGGGGCAAGCGUUGUUCGGAAUUACUGGGCGUAAAGGGCGCGUAGGCGGCCUUCUAAGUCAGACGUGAAAUCCCUCGGCUCAACCGGGGAACUGCGUCUGAGACUGGAAGGCUUGAAUCCGGGAGAGGGAUGUGGAAUUCCAGGUGUAGCGGUGAAAUGCGUAGAUAUCUGGAGGAACACCGGUGGCGAAGGCGGCAUCCUGGACCGGUAUUGACGCUGAGGCGCGAAAGCCAGGGGAGCAAACGG
rnacentral:rRNA from 1 species